rnacentral:lncRNA from 10 species
GAUUCUCUAACUGCGCAUGCUUCUGCGCACGCGCAAUAGACAUUCCAGGACUUCCGGGCACUUCGUAAGGUUUAAAAAGGAUGCUUCGCGUUUUCUCUCUCCUUUUUGGAGACAGAUUCGCAGUGGUCGCUUCUUCUCCUUGACGGAGUCGGUUUGUCACUCAGGCUGGACUGCAGUGCUCGUUGCAACCUCCGCCUGCCGGGUUCAAGCGAUUCUCGUGCCUCAGCCUCUCCAGCAGCUGGGAUUACAGGAUUUGUUAAGGAUUCCAAGUAACUCUUAUUUGGAGAGAAGACGAUCUGCACUUCGCAUUUUGGCAUUGACAUUUAAUUUUAGGGUCCUUUAUAUAGAAGGGAGAGUAGGUAAACUGAUUUUUUUUUUUAACAGGGAGGGUUUGACAAUCUUUGGCAGACUUGGAGCAAAAGAUUGAGGUGCAUUUCAUGCCUCCUUUUGAGAGUCUUGCUCUGUCGCCCAGGCUGUAGUGCAGUGGCGCAAUCUUGGCUGCAACCUCAGCCUCCCAAGUAGCUGGGAUUACAAACAUAAGCCACCACGCCCAGCCCUCAUACCUCUUUUAAAAGUCGACCUGUUUUGCAGAAAGUCUGCUGUUUUUGUACUAAAGGCUUUGGAAUUUGGCAUUUAGCUAGGAAUGCACAUUCUUUCACCUCAUUCAUACUUUAAGAACCACAGAAGUGACUCUGCUUGGCCAGAAGGCACACUGUGUUGGUGGUUAUAUUAAAAGUCCUUGAGUAUUUUGCUUUUCAUGAUCUUGCUCACUGCAACUUCCGCCUCCCAGGUUCAGGCGAUUCUCCUGCCUCAGCCUCCCAAGUAGCUGCGACUACAGGCGUGUAGCACCACACCUGGCUAAUUUUUGUAUUUUUAGUAGAGAUGAGGUUUCACCAUAUUGGCCAGGCUGUUCUCAACUCCUGACCUCGUGAUCCGCCCACCUCAGCCUCCUAAAGUGCUGGGAUUACAGCUGUGAGCCACCCUGCCCGGCCACUUUUGUAUGAUUUCUAAUGUAUUUGUAAUUUACCUAACAAAUUGCCUAAUCUGCUAUGUUAAUGUAUUUAUGAAUUAAAAUAAAUACGACUGCAUGUUUGUGGUUCAUUUUUGUGGAGGUGGCUGUGGUGACAUCAGCCAAGAAUCUGAAUGGUACUGUUGAAGGAAACUAGCAUGAUAGCUUCAGUUCUAAAGGCCCUGAAACCUAGUCUCAGGUGGGUCCCCCUUGGGUUCACUUUAUAUUGGCAGUUUAUUGGGAAAAUGGAUAUUAGGUCCUGACCAAUAGGACCGUAAGUCUGGGUUGAGUGCAAGAUGAGUUAGACCGAUUCUUUAGCUUCCUGCAGUGUAGUGGAGGAAAAAUCGAUGGUAGCAACGGGAGGUUGUAUCCCUAGCUGAUGAGUUGUAUGAGCCUCUACUACCUGGCGCACCUCCGCCUGAAGAUUGCCAGAAUUGCUUGCCUCAUGACGUGAGUCACAAUGGAAACUUUGUCAAGCCCCCUGCACUGGCUGCCAACAUAAAUGUUCAGUACCCUGAAGGAUGGGACUGAAGGGGGAUCAUCUAGAAGGUAAAGUUACCUACUGGCAUAGGGGAGGUGGGACAGCCGUUAAGCCAUUUGGAACUUGAUGGAGACAGGUUUGAGGGAGGUGGGUGAGAUUGGAGUUUGGUGGACUGUAGAGCUUGCUUGCCAAGGUGUUGAGGUCAGGGUUGGUUUGAGAAUGGAAGCUAGUUACUAGCUAUGAUUGUGGGGGAACACAGCUUGAUUUUUCUUACAAGCUAAGAGGAGUGAGGCAGUGUUUAAGAGGGCAUGUUAAAUGCAGCCAGGCUUGGUGGCUCACACCCGUAAUCCCAGCACUUAGGCUAAGGCAGGCGGAUCACAACAUCUAGAGAUCCUGGCCAACGCGGUGAAACCCUGUCUGUACUAAAAAUACAAAAUAACUGGGCAUGGUGGUGUGCACCUGUGGGAGGCUGAGGCAGAAUUGCUGGAACCCGGGAGAUGGAGGUUGUACUGAGCUGAGACCUUGCCACUGCGCUCCAGCCUGGUGACAGAGUUAAGUCUCAAAAAAAAGGCAUCUUCCUAAAGCAAUUGUAUUUGUGCUUACCUGUGCCAGGCACUGUUCUAGGUAAGCACUAAGUGGGCUUUAAUACAGCAUAUUCCAAUGGGGAAUCCCAGGAACCAAAAGACUAAUUGUCCAAGUCCACAACUAGAAGUGGCACCUCUGCAGAAACAAGCAUCAAAUUCCCUGCUCAGGAAGAAGCCAGAUGAGUCAGCCCCAUUCGUCUGUAUGCCCAGUCCCAUCCGUGUCCUGCUGUAACUACAUAGAUCUCACCUGAGUAAAGUGAUUUUUUUCUGAA